rnacentral:rRNA from 1 species
AGGCCUAACACAUGCAAGUCGAGGGGUAUAUGUCUUCGGAUAUAGAGACCGGCGCACGGGUGCGUAACGCGUAUGCAAUCUACCUUUUACAGGGGAAUAGCCCAGAGAAAUUUGGAUUAAUGCCCCAUAGUAUAUAAGAAUCGCAUGGUUUUUAUAUUAAAGUUCCAACGGUAAAAGAUGAGCAUGCGUCCCAUUAGUUAGUUGGUAAGGUAACGGCUUACCAAGACAAUGAUGGGUAGGGGUCCUGAGAGGGAGAUCCCCCACACUGGUACUGAGACACGGACCAGACUCCUACGGGAGGCAGCAGUGAGGAAUAUUGGACAAUGGGCGCAAGCCUGAUCCAGCCAUGCCGCGUGCAGGAAGACGGUCCUAUGGAUUGUAAACUGCUUUUGUACAGGAAGAAACACUCCCUCGUGAGGGAGCUUGACGGUACUGUAAGAAUAAGGAUCAGCUAACUCCGUGCCAGCAGCCGCGGUAAUACGGAGGAUCCAAGCGUUAUCCGGAAUCAUUGGGUUUAAAGGGUCCGUAGGCGGUUUAAUAAGUCAGUGGUGAAAGCCCAUCGCUCAACGAUGGAACGGCCAUUGAUACUGUUAGACUUGAAUUAUUAGAAGUAACUAGAAUAUGUAGUGUAGCGGUGAAAUGCUUAGAUAUUAACAUGGAAUACCAAUUGCGAAGCAGGUUACUACUAAUGNUUGACGCUGAUGGACGAAAGCGUGGGGAGCGAACAGAUUAGAUACCCUGUAGUCCACGCCGUAAACGAUGGAUACUAGCUGUUGGGCGCAAGUCNNNGCUAANCGAAAGUGAUAGUAUCCCACCUGGGAGUACGUUCGCA